rnacentral:rRNA from 1 species
GUCGAGCGAACGGAUAAGGAGCUUGCUCCUUUGAAGUUAGCGGCGGACGGGUGAGUAACACGUGGGUAACCUACCUAUAAGACUGGAAUAACUUCGGGAAACCGGAGCUAAUGCCGGAUAACAUAUAGAACCGCAUGGUUCUAUAGUGAAAGAUGGUUUUGCUAUCACUUAUAGAUGGACCCGCGCCGUAUUAGCUAGUUGGUAAGGUAAUGGCUUACCAAGGCGACGAUACGUAGCCGACCUGAGAGGGUGAUCGGCCACACUGGAACUGAGACACGGUCCAGACUCCUACGGGAGGCAGCAGUAGGGAAUCUUCCGCAAUGGGCGAAAGCCUGACGGAGCAACGCCGCGUGAGUGAUGAAGGUUUUCGGAUCGUAAAACUCUGUUAUUAGGGAAGAACAAAUGCGUAAGUAACUGUGCGCAUCUUGACGGUACCUAAUCAGAAAGCCACGGCUAACUACGUGCCAGCAGCCGCGGUAAUACGUAGGUGGCAAGCGUUAUCCGGAAUUAUUGGGCGUAAAGCGCGCGUAGGCGGUUUCUUAAGUCUGAUGUGAAAGCCCACGGCUCAACCGUGGAGGGUCAUUGGAAACUGGGAAACUUGAGUGCAGAAGAGGAAAGUGGAAUUCCAUGUGUAGCGGUGAAAUGCGC